AGCGAACGUUAGCGGCGGGCCUAACACAUGCAAGUCGAGCGAGAAAGUGGCUUCGGCCAUCAGUAAAGCGGCGGACGGGUGAGUAACACGUAGGUAAUCUUCCCUUGAGCGGGGGACAACGUUUCGAAAGGAACGCUAAUACCGCAUAAGUUUCCAGGAACUCUGGUUCUUGGAAGGAAAGCUAGGUCGCAAGAUCCGGCACUCGAGGAGGAGCCUGCGUCGCAUCAGCUAGGUUGGUGGGGAAUGGCCUACCAAGGCGAAGACGCGUAGCUGGUCUGAGAGGAUGAUCAGCCACACUGGGAC
rnacentral:rRNA from 1 species